rnacentral:lncRNA from 1 species
CAAUUGAUAAAACAGAUCCACCCACUCAGGGCACAUGUGCAUUGCGCUUUAGCAGUUGACGACUUUACGCAGUAUCCACUGUGUGCCAGACGCACAAACAAAACGUCAAAUGAUUAAUGAAGCAGAGACAAGACAAGACGUCGUUUCCAUUGACGUCACAGAGUACCAUAAAGCUGUACUUUUUGAAUAUAG